UACAGUCACAUCUCUUUCAAAACAACGGCUCCAUUACGAUCCCCGAAGUUAAGCGACGUCGAGUCUAGUCAGUACCGAAAUGGGUGACGGCUUGGGAAUACCAGGUGCUGUAAG